rnacentral:lncRNA from 10 species
UUUGAGACCAGUCUGGCCAACAUAGCAAAACCCCAUUUCUACCAAAAAAAAAAAAAAAUUUAGCCAGGUGUGGCGGCGUGUACCUGUAGUCCCAGCUACUCAGGAGGCUGAGGUGAAAAAAGUUGAUAAAGUACCUGGGAGUAGCUUGAUUUCCUAUAGGAAAUAGAUAAAUCCUGUAGUAAUCAUGAUUAGAGGGGAAUUUAUUGUAGCAUUGUAGCACAGUGAGCCAUUAGGUGCCCUGAUAAACUUCUAAUUAUAGUUCUUCACAAAUCUUGAGGUUGUCCUCCAAUACCCACCUGAGAAUGUUUUCUGCCACUCAAAUGAGUUGGAAAUAUAGUCUAUUUCUGCUUUACAUUUCCUUAUUGUUUAUCUGG